UACGUAGGGUGCAAGCGUUGUCCGGAAUUAUUGGGCGUAAAGAGCGUGUAGGCGGUUAGGUAGGUCCGUUGUGAAAACUCGAGGCUCAACCUCGAGACGUCGGCGGAAACCAUCUGGCUAGAGUCCGGAAGAGGAGAGUGGAAUUCCUGGUGUAGCGGUGAAAUGCGCAGAUAUCGGGAAGAACACCCGUGGCGAAGGCGGCUCUCUGGGACGGUACUGACGCUGAGACGCGAAAGCGUGGGGAGCGAACAGG
rnacentral:rRNA from 1 species